UUGCAGCCAAGCCGCUUGGUGAAGGUGAUGCAGCUUCUCAACCCACACCCAGGACUGAGCCUCAGAGAGGUGGUGAGGUUACAGGUGUGUCUGCAGGGAGCGCUUCCCCAGAUCUUGAGGUGGUUACUGCACCCAAGCCUGGCUCCCAUCGCAGGGGUCCUCCAAAAAGAAAGACCCAAGAUAAUGGAACCAAAAAGUCUCUAUCAUCAAAUGAU